UACGAAGGGAGCUAGCGUUGUUCGGAAUCACUGGGCGUAAAGCGCACGUAGGCGGAUGUGUCAGUCAGGGGUGAAAUCCCGGAGCUCAACUUCGGAACUGCCUUUGAUACAGCACGUCUUGAGUCCGAUAGAGGUGGGUGGAAUUCCUAGUGUAGAGGUGAAAUUCGUAGAUAUUAGGAAGAACACCCGGUGGCGAAGGCGGCCCACUGGAUCGGUACUGACGCUGAGGUGCGAAAGCGUGGGGAGCAACAGG
rnacentral:rRNA from 1 species